rnacentral:lncRNA from 1 species
UUUGGCGCUUCCACCUUGAUUUGGGGGACCCCAACGAGCCUUGUCCAAGAUGAGUUGUGCGGAUAUCUGAACCUGCAUGGGUCUACAUUCGUCUACACAGGCUUAGGCAAUACACGCUAGUAUGAGCCAGGUGCUGUGAGAACAGCGAGCGGAACGGUUCAUUCACGGAGGGGUCCUGGAGAAGUGGACGGACAGCGCCACUUGGUCCCGUCUGCCCAGCGCGGCCCGUCUCUAGCCAAGCCCGGAGCUCUUACCUGCAGAGGGAGCCCUGCUGAAAACUCCCAGCCCGUGCUCAGGGAAUUCCACUGCAGAGCCCGACUCCUCCCUACGCCACCCCAACUGUUUCCCUAAACACUGUCCACCUCCGGGCCUGCGGAGACUGACCAUUCAGGGGACCCACAGGCAUGUAUGGGGGAAUCUGCCUGGAGGAAGAACAGAUGUGUACUAAGUGUGAUUUAAAAAAAAC